AUUGAACGCUGGCAGCAUGCCUUACACAUGCAAGUCGAACGGUAACAGGUCUUCGGAUGCUGACGAGUGGCGAACGGGUGAGUAAUACAUCGGAACGUGCCCGAGAGUGGGGGAUAACGAGGCGAAAGCUUUGCUAAUACCGCAUACGAUCUCAGGAUGAAAGCAGGGGACCGCAAGGCCUUGCGCUAACGGAGCGGCCGAUGGCAGAUUAGGUAGUUGGUGGGAUAAAAGCUUACCAAGCCGACGAUCUGUAGCUGGUCUGAGAGGACGACCAGCCACACUGGGACUGAGACACGGCCCAGACUCCUACGGGAGGCAGCAGUGGGGAAUUUUGGACAAUGGGCGCAAGCCUGAUCCAGCCAUGCCGCGUGCAGGAUGAAGGCCUUCGGGUUGUAAACUGCUUUUGUACGGAACGAAAAGACUCCUUCUAAUAAAGGGGGUCCAUGACGGUACCGUAAGAAUAAGCACCGGCUAACUACGUGCCAGCCGCCGCGGUAAUAC
rnacentral:rRNA from 1 species